CCUACGGGGGGCAGCAGUGGGGAAUAUUGGGCAAUGGGCGCAAGCCUGACCCAGCAACGCCGCGUGAAGGAAGAAGGCUUUCGGGUUGUAAACUUCUUUUGACAGGGAAGAGCAGAAGACGGUACCUGUCGAAUAAGCCACGGCUAACUACGUGCCAGCAGCCGCGGUAAUACGUAGGUGGCAAGCGUUGUCCGGAUUUACUGGGUGUAAAGGGCGUGUAGCCGGGCUGACAAGUCAGAUGUGAAAUCCUGGGGCUCAACCCCCGAACUGCAUUUGAAACUGUUGGUCUUGAGUAUAGGAGAGGCAGGCGGAAUGCCUAGGGUAGCGGUGAAAUGCGUAGAUAUUAGGAGGAACACCAGUGGCGAAGGCGGUCUGCUGGACGACAACUGACGGUGAGGCGCGAAAGCGUGGGGAGCAAACAGGAUUAGAUACCCUAGUAGUC
rnacentral:rRNA from 1 species